rnacentral:rRNA from 1 species
CGAGCGGAAAGGCCCUUCGGGGUACUCGAGCGGCGAACGGGUGAGUAACACGUGAGCAACCUGCCCUAGGCUUUGGGAUAACCCCGGGAAACCGGGGCUAAUACCGAAUAGGACCUCUGACCGCAUGGUUGGUGGUGGAAAGUUUUUCGGCCUGGGAUGGGCUCGCGGCCUAUCAGCUUGUUGGUGGGGUGAUGGCCUACCAAGGCGACGACGGGUAGCCGGCCUGAGAGGGCGACCGGCCACACUGGGACUGAGACACGGCCCAGACUCCUACGGGAGGCAGCAGUGGGGAAUAUUGCACAAUGGGCGGAAGCCUGAUGCAGCGACGCCGCGUGAGGGAUGACGGCCUUCGGGUUGUAAACCUCUUUCAGCAGGGACGAAGCGUAAGUGACGGUACCUGCAGAAGAAGCGCCGGCCAACUACGUGCCAGCAGCCGCGGUAAGACGUAGGGCGCGAGCGUUGUCCGGAUUUAUUGGGCGUAAAGAGCUCGUAGGCGGCUUGUCGCGUCGACUGUGAAAACCCGCAGCUCAACUGCGGGCCUGCAGUCGAUACGGGCAGGCUAGAGUUCGGUAGGGGAGACUGGAAUUCCUGGUGUAGCGGUGAAAUGCGCAGAUAUCAGGAGGAACACCGGUGGCGAAGGCGGGUCUCUGGGCCGAUACUGACGCUGAGGAGCGAAAGCGUGGGGAGCGAACAGGAUUAGAUACCCUGGUAGUCCACGCUGUAAACGUUGGGCGCUAGGUGUGGGGGGCCUCUCCGGUUCCCUGUGCCGCAGCUAACGCAUUAAGCG